AGCAUCUUAGAGCAUUAAACCAACCGGAGUGGCCAUUGGCAGGCGUUCCCCGCUCGCCAAAGGUUUGAGUAAGCGUUACAUACCUGUUAUAUAAAACUAGUUGACGCGCGCCCAACGCCAUUUUGCUAAUGUCAGUGAACGUGAAAAAACCGGAGCGAAAUAUGCCAAAUUGAAGUGAAUUUACGUGUAAGAAGUGGUCAGAAACGUGGAAUGUAAUUAAGGAUAAUGUUACUUUUCAUCUAUUUCUCAAAGCUGCUGUGAUUCGGGAUGUUUGGAUUCGAUCUCCGAAUGCGAAUCAUGUUUCAUGGACUCCUAAACGGACUAGCACUUAAACUAGUGUUUCUGCGUUAAAAUAAAUGUAAAUAUGUGUAAAUAAAUGAUGUAAAUGAACGACGAA